rnacentral:misc_RNA from 1 species
GAUGAAGAACGUAGCGAAAUGCGACAAGUAAUGUGAAUUGCAGAAUUCCGUGAAUCAUCGAGUCUUUGAACGCACAUUGCGCCCUCUGGUAUUCCGGAGGGCAUGCCUGUCCGAGCGUCAUUGCUGCCCUCAAGCACGGCUUGUGUGUUGGGCCCCGUCCUCCUUCCGGGGGACGGGUCCGAAAGGCAGCGGCGGCACCGCGUCCGGUCCUCAAGCGUAUGGGGCUUUGUCACUCGCUUUGUAGGCCUGGCCGGCGCUUGCCGAUCAACCAAACUUUUUAUCAGGUUGACCUCGGAUCAGGUAGGGAUACCCGCUGAACUUAAGCAUAUCAAUAAGCGGAGGA